rnacentral:tRNA from 1 species
GUAGAUUUAGUGUAAAAUAGCAUUUAAAAUUUUCUUUUUUAAGGUAAGAAAUUUCUUAAUCUAUA